UGCGGGGUAGAGCAGGCUGGUAGCUCAUCGGGCUCAUAACCCGGAGGUCAAUGGUUCAAAUCCAUUCCCCGCUA
rnacentral:tRNA from 1 species